AACGAACGCUGGCGGCAUGCCUAACACAUGCAAGUCGAACGAGACCUUCGGGUCUAGUGGCGCACGGGUGCGUAACGCGUGGGAACCUGCCUUUAGGUUCGGAAUAACUCAGAGAAAUUUGAGCUAAUACCGGAUAAUGUCUUCGGACCAAAGAUUUAUCGCCUUUAGAUGGGCCCGCGUAAGAUUAGCUAGUUGGUGGGGUAAAGGCCUACCAAGGCGACGAUCUUUAGCUGGUCUGAGAGGAUGAUCAGCCACACUGGGACUGAGACACGGCCCAGACUCCUACGGGAGGCAGCAGUGGGGAAUAUUGGACAAUGGGCGAAAGCCUGAUCCAGCAAUGCCGCGUGAGUGAUGAAGGCCUUAGGGUUGUAAAGCUCUUUUACCCGAGAUGAUAAUGACAGUAUCGGAGAAUAAGCUCCGGCUAACUCCGUGCCAGCAGCCGCG
rnacentral:rRNA from 1 species